AGCCGUGUGGUGAGCACAGAGCAAACUAUUCAUUCGCCUUUUACUAAAGAAUACCGUGUGCUCGCCACUAUAAGCGGCAUACGCCAAUUUUUUGAGGAGUUUUCUCCUUUUGAAGUCU